rnacentral:snRNA from 1 species
GGAUGUGAGGGUGAUCUGGCCAUGACAUCUGUCACCCCAUUGAUCGCCAGGGUUGAUUCGGCUUAUCUGGCUGGCUAGGCGGGUGUCUCCUUCCUCCCUCACUGCUCCGGUGCAUCCCUCCCGAAGCUGUGUCCUUGGUGGGAGAGGACGGCCUUCCCCGAAUAAAGGAGGACCUGUCUUGGGUGAAGGGCAUAGAGGUAGCUGCGCUCCCCUGCUAGAACCUCCAAACAAGAUCUCAAGGUUUCAGCCACACAGUGCAAAGAGGUGGCUGUACAAACGAAGCAGGGGCUGAGAGAUGGCUCAGAGGCUAAAGGCACUGGCUUGCAAAGCCUGACAGC